rnacentral:rRNA from 1 species
UGGGGAAUAUUGCACAAUGGGCGCAAGCCUGAUGCAGCAACGCCGCGUGAACGAUGAAGGUCUUCGGUUUGUAAAGUUUUGUUGCAGGGGAAGAUAAUGACGGUACCCUGUGAGGAAGCCUCGGCUAACUACGUGCCAGCAGCCGCGGUAAUACGUAGGGGGCUAGCGUUAUCCGGAUUUACUGGGCGUAAAGGGUGCGUAGGUGGUCUUUCAAGUCGGUGGUUAAAGGCUACGGCUCAACCGUAGUGAGCCCCCGAAAAUGGAAGAAUUGAGUGAAGGAGAGGAAAGUGGAAUAACCAGUGUAGCGGUGAAAUGCGUAGAUAUUGGGAGGAACACCAGUAGCGAAGACGGCUUUCUAGACUGCAACUAACACUGAGGCACGAAAGCGGGGGUAGCAAACAGG